AGUGAACGCUGGCGGUAGGCCUAACACAUGCAAGUCGAACGGCAGCACAGUAAGAGCUUGCUCUUACGGGUGGCGAGUGGCGGACGGGUGAGGAAUACAUCGGAAUCUACUUUUUCGUGGGGGAUAACGUAGGGAAACUUACGCUAAUACCGCAUACGACCUACGGGUGAAAGCAGGGGAUCUUCGGACCUUGCGCGAUUGAAUGAGCCGAUGUCGGAUUAGCUAGUUGGCUGGGUAAAGGCCCACCAAGGCGACGAUCCGUAGCUGGUCUGAGAGGAUGAGCAGCCACACUGGAACUGAGACACGGUCCAGACUCCUACGGGAGGCAGCAGUGGGGAAUAUUGGACAAUGGGCGAAAGCCUGAUCCAGCCAUACCGCGUGGGUGAAGAAGGCCUUCGGGUUGUAAAGCCCUUUUGUUGGGAAAGAAAAGCAGCAGGUUAAUACCCCGCUGUUCUGACGGUACCCAAAGAAUAAGCACCGGCUAACUUCGUG
rnacentral:rRNA from 1 species